GUCUAUGGCUAUACCAUCCAGAACACGCCCAAUCUCAUCUGAUCUCAGAAGCUAAGGAGGGUCAGGCCUGGUUAGUACUUGUAUAGGAGAGGGAGAGAGACAGAGAGACA
rnacentral:rRNA from 1 species